rnacentral:tRNA from 2 species
GCCUGUGUAGCUCAACCGGAUAGAGCAUAAGACUCUUAAUCUUGGGAUUGCGGGUUCGAGUCCCACCACUGGCU